GAUGAACGCUGGCGGCGUGCCUAAUACAUGCAAGUCGAGCGAACGGACGAGAAGCUUGCUUCUCUGAUGUUAGCGGCGGACGGGUGAGUAACACGUGGAUAACCUACCUAUAAGACUGGGAUAACUUCGGGAAACCUGAGCUAAUACCGGAUAAUAUUUUGAACCGCAUGGUUCAAAAGUGAAAGACGGUCUUGCUGUCACUUAUAGAUGGAUCCGCGCUGCAUUAGCUAGUUGGUAAGGUAACGGCUUACCAAGGCAACGAUGCAUAGCCGACCUGAGAGGGUGAUCGGACACACUGGAACUGAGACACGGUCCAGACUCCUACGGGAGGCAGCAGUAGGGAAUCUUCCGCAAUGGGCGAAAGCCUGACGGAGCAACGCCGCGUGAGUGAUGAAGGUCUUCGGAUCGUAAAACUCUGUUAUUAGGGAAGAACAUAUGUGUAAGUAACUGUGCACAUCUUGACGGUACCUAAUCAGAAAGCCACGGCUAACUACGUG
rnacentral:rRNA from 1 species